GUAAGAGUUCCUGUCCUGAUUCUCUGUUCUCAGAGGUUCUCUGGUAGGCUGCAGGAGACUUUAGCGUUUGGGUUGUGCUAGUUUGGUUUUUGUACGGUUUCAUUUGGACGACUAUCUUGAGGCCCCUCCAUGUGGUUUAGUGAGGUUUUCUGGAACAGUUCUACAUAGCAACCUGCAGCAGAAGAGACUUUGAGAGUUUUUAGGGAGUUCUGGAGACCAGACUUUAGAGCAGCAGAAACAUUUGUCAGCAGUUUGCGCAGGAGAAGGUGAGCUUCAGAGUAGAAAUGAGACAGAAACCUUCUUGACCCGUGUGGUGAGGUCCUGUACCAAGAGUUUGAGCAGUCUGUAGUUCUUUGGUCUGAAAGCACAAGAAGAGUCGACUCAUUAAAGGAGAAAACAGGAGAUAUUGUUGGUUCUUCUGUCGCUCUGCAGUUUCCUUAGACUGAAUAUCAAGUUUAUAUUUUAAAUGAUUUCCCA
ensembl:lncRNA